GAAAGAAACUUUGUAGCAAUUGUAAUGAAGGGCAAGAUUGGAGUCAUACAGUCAUAAUUCAUUAAUACACUGGUACAUAUGUACACUACAUGCAUACCUCACCUCGUUGAUAUUGGCCUGUUCUACAAUAAGCCCUAACUUUUCAUGGGAGUUGUGAGCUAGACCGCUGCACCUCCCCUAAAAUUUUUGUCCACCUCCCCCACUAUUUUCACCAAAAUCCGGCCUUGAUUUGCAUCUCUUUGCCCAAUUAUAAAAUUAGUCUAUAAUUGGAAUUGUCUAUUUACAUGAACAUAAGAUACUUUUUAUGUUUGUGAUACAUUUUUCAAACUACUAAUGUUUUUUCAAACUGGUAAAUCUUUUCAAAGCCCCCCUUCUUUCGUCUCUCUGUAUUUUUUCAACCUCCAAUUUCUCCUCAAUCCCCCCUGUACAAUAAAUAAUAUGAGCGGUCCCUUAGAUCUUAUAUUCGGUCAGCCUUCGCAUUUUUACCAUUUUUCCAGACCUCUCAACUUUGCAGAGAAGUUAAGAGUGAGAUUUGGGAUGUGGAUGACACCUUUGUAAAAGUCCGGGGGUCUGAAAUGGCAUUUCGUACAUUAUGAGAGUUGGUGUUUUUUAAUGAAAUACAUUGCUUCAUAACGUCCUUUAAGACAAGGCAAUUAGUUAUAAUAACUGUAUUUCUGCGACAUACAGUAAUGAGCUUUAAUUUGCCUUUGAUAAUUUACAUAUAGAAUUCUGCUCCGACUGAUUCUGCCUUUUGUCCGCCGUAUUUACAUAUGCGUACUAUUUUGUAUCCAUGCAAAUUGCGGGCAAAAGCCAAAAUGUCGGGCCAUAUAUGCAGGAACAAUAACACGCGAUUAUAUAUUCGAUUUGCAAUCCGUAUAAUGAUUAAUAAUGUGCAUUUAUUAAGAAUACAAUAUAUUAUUGAAAAAA